rnacentral:sRNA from 1 species
GUUGUGAUCCAACUAUGUAUGUGUGUACCAACUACUGAUCCAGGGAUUGGUACGGAUAAACACAGAAGAUUUCCGAUUUCCAAAAUCGAGGGUCUGUAGCCGCUCGCCUCGCCAGUUGCAGGAUUGCUAGCUCGCGCGUACGCGCCAGCAGAGAAGCUGGCGCGCACGCUAGCUGCGCCUGGCUCUAGCGCUCUUUUUUUUUCUGAUUUUCUUUAUGAUUUUUUUUGUUACACGUUUGUUCCAUAUCACGGAAAAAAAGUUUCCUUUUUUUAUUCUUCUUUUCUUUUCCAGAAACUACAUAAACAAACUUUUAAGUAAGAUUUGAAAUCUUUUCAACUUAUAUUCAAAAAUUUUCAAUUCCAGAUUUAAAAGUUUAAACUUAUAUUUAAAAUCUUUCAAUAUAGAUUUGAAAAUUUCCAAGUCAAGAUUGAAAUCUUCCAGCUAGGAUUUGAAAACUUUUAAGUCAAGAUUGAAAUCUUUCAACUUAGAUUUGAAAACUUCCAAGUGAAGAUUAAAAACUUUCAACUCAGAUUUGAAAACUUCCAAGUCCAAAUUUGAAACUUUAAACUUAGAUUUGAAAACUUUCAGUUCGGAUUUGAAAACUUUUAAAUCAAGAUUUAAAACUUUCUAAGUCAGAUUUGAAAACUUUCAACUGAAGAUUUGAAACAUUUAAGUCAAAUUUAAAAACUUUCAAGUCAAAAUUCAAAAUAUUCAAUUUAAAUUUAAAAACUUUCAUCUCAAAAUUCAAAGCAUUCAACUUAAAUUUUAAAAACUUUCAACUCAAAUUUAAAACUUUCAACUGAAAUUGGAGGUGAAAGAUUCAAUUUAUAAAAUAUAGCACGGAAAUAAAUCGCGCGACCACGUAAAGAAAAUAAGGGAGCGAUUC